AUAAUGCUAAGUGAAAUAAGUCAGAGAAAGAAAAAUACCAUGUGAUUUCCCUCUUAUGUAGGACUUAAGAAACAAAACAAAGAAAGAAACAAACCAAAAGACCCUUAACUAUAAACUCAAAAAAUUCUUAACUCUUAACUAUACAGAACAUAUGGAUGGUUGAGGGGAGGUAGGUGGGAAGAUGGGUGAACUAAGUGAGAGAGAUUAAGGGUACCCUUAUCGUGAGGAGCACGGAGUAAGUAUAGAAUUAUGAAUCACUAUAUUGUACCCCUGAAGCUAAUAUAACACUAUAUGUUAAUUACACCGGACUGAAAAAUAAAUAGAACAAAAUACCUGCUUCUCAGAUAGCCGUGGAGACUAACUGUGAAGACUUGUGAAGGGUACACAGUGGGUCUCAGCUGAUCUUCCCCCAUCAGGUGAGAGAAAGAAGGCAGGUGGCUGGGAGCCUGGUGUCACGUCUAAUGGCCUGCAUGUUCUGUUCUAUUCACCUGCCAGUGACUGGGUGUGAGCCCUUGCUAUGGAAUUGAAAGAUGAGUCCUCAGCCACAUGGCCCCCUCUCCCUUCUUUUACUGCCCAUGCUCAGCUACAGAGCUCUUCAGAAUUCUGCCUCUUUUGGGGGCAUUGUGGGGCCCCGUCUCCAAAGUCAAGGAACUCUGCUCCAAAUCUUGAUGUGUGGCAUUUCUUCUGAUUUCUUCAGAGGAACUAGUGAUACCUGUGUGAUCUCAGCCUUGACACGUCUCUCUUGAAUUUCACGGGGGAGGCACGGGUCCCCAGUGCUAACAGUGGAUGGUCACUCCUCGCCAUUGGUCUGGGCCUGCAGGGACUGCCAGGGUGAGACACCGAGCGGCAGGCUGCUGCUCACCACAGAUCGAACAGCAAAGCCACAGAGCUCAUCCUCGGAGGGGCAUUGUCCUAUUUGCAGCCACGUUCGGGGGAAGGGGGAAGGUAUUCAACAACUCUUGAGGGAAGCACAGUGGACAGUAGCAGGGUUUUGUCAUGGAAGGGAUAAUUCAAAAGAAACGUCCUACUUGGGUGUCAGUGUUCUCUUUCCAACCGUUGGUCAACCAACAUCUACGAAAGGCUUACCACGGUGCCAAGCACUGGGACUAUGGGGCAGUGUGGACUUUAAGUAGCACUGUGCCACCUGGAGGAAAAUCACCGUGGGAUACCGAGUGGCAGGGCCAAGCCUUGAAGGAGCCGCCUAGAUUUUCCAUGGCCACACUUUUGAUCCAAAACUGAGGGAAUAACAUCAAACAGCUAAAUUGGGGCCGUUUGAAUGGAGAUGAAGAAGCAUAUGAAGAUCUGGGUAUCUGGGGAUCACUGUGGGUGGUCUGCAGGGUGCUAGAAAUGUUGGAGGUUGGCACCUUGCCACAGCUCUGGGUGUGUUUCUUUUCAGGCUUCGGAGCACAGCAUUGAGACAUGAUAGAAAAGUGAUAUGCGGAGGCCUAUGUCUGGGCAAAGGAACAGAAGCAGGCUUUUUUUAUUUUUUUUAUUUUUUUUUGCCUUUGUUUUCUAAGUAGAUGUUUUGACCUCUCUAAAAGCAUUACUUAAUCCUAAAUGUAAGUAGGGAGUGGGGAAUGCUAGAAUUAAUCGCUUAGUAAUUACCCUACUGGGGAAACCCAGAAUUUCCUAGGAUGUAAGAAAAAAAAAAAAAAAGGGCAUUCUAUUUCUCAGUGGCCACGAAAA